UUCCGGUUGAUCCUGCCGGACCCCACUGCUAUCGGGAUAGGACUAAGACAUGCUAGUCAAGCGCUUCCCAGCCAAAGGGGAGUGCGGCAUACAGCUCAGUAACACGUGGCUAACCUGCCCUCGAGACGGAGACAACCCCGGGAAACUGGGGCUAAUCUCCGAUAGGUGAAGAGCUCUGGAAUGAGCCUUUGCCCAAAUAGCAAUCAGGCUAUGCUUCUGGUUGUCGCUCGAGGAUGGGGCCGCGACCGAUCAGGUUGUUGGUGAGGUAACGGCUCACCAAGCCUAUAACCGGUGCGGGCCGUGGGAGCGGGAGCCCGGAGAUGGGCACUGAGACAAGGGCCCAGGCCCUACGGGGCGCAGCAGUCGCGCAAACUUUGCAAUACACGAAAGUGUGACAGGGCUAUCCCGAGUGCCGUCCGCUGAGGAUGGCUUUUACCCAGUCUAGAACGCUGGGGGAAUAAGGAGAGGGCAAGUCUGGUGUCAGCCGCCGCGGUAAUACCAGCUCUCCGAGUGGUGUGGAUGUUUAUUGGGCCUAAAGCAUCCGUAGCUGGCCAAGUUAGUCCCUUGUUAAACCCACCGAAUUAAUCGUUGGAUUGCGGGGGAUACUGCUCGGCUAGGGGACGAGAGAGGCAGACGGUAUUUUCGGGGUAGGGGUGAAAUCCUAUAAUCCCGGGAAGACCACCAGUGGCGAAGGCUGUCUGCUAGAACGCGCCCGACGGUGAGGGAUGAAAGCUGGGGGAGCGAACCGGAUUAGAUACCCGGGUAGUCCCAGCUGUAAACGAUGCAGGCUAGGUGUUUGGGCGGCCACGUGCCGCUCUAGUGCCGCAGGGAAACUGUUAAGCCUGCCGCCUGGGGAGUACGGUCGCAAGAUUGAAACUUAAAGGAAUGGCGGGGAGCACC
rnacentral:rRNA from 1 species